ACGGGAGGCAGCAGUGGGGAAUAUUGGGCAAUGGGCGAAAGCCUGACCCAGCAACGCCGCGUGAAGGAAGAAGGUCUUCGGAUUGUAAACUUCUUUUAUGAGGGACGAAGGACGUGACGGUACCUCAUGAAUAAGCAUCGGCUAACUCCGUGCCAGCAGCCGCGGUAAUACGGAGGAUGCGAGCGUUAUCCGGAUUUAUUGGGUUUAAAGGGUGCGUAGGCGGGAUGUUAAGUCAGCGGUGAAAGUUUGCGGCUCAACCGUAAAAUUGCCGUUGAAACUGGCGUUCUUGAGUGUAAACGAGGUAGGCGGAAUGUAACGUGUAGCGGUGAAAUGCUUAGAUAUGUUACAGAACCCCGAUUGCGAAGGCAGCUUACCAGCAUACAACUGACGCUGAGGCACGAAAGUGUGGGUAUCAAACAGGAUUAGAUACCCUGGUA
rnacentral:rRNA from 1 species